rnacentral:rRNA from 1 species
UUGGCACUAGAAGCCGAUGAAGGACGUUACUAACGACGAUAUGCUUUGGGGAGCUGUAAGUAAGCGUUGAUCCAGAGAUUUCCGAAUGGGGAAACCCAGCAUGAGUUAUGUCAUGUUAUCGAUAUGUGAAUACAUAGCAUAUCAGAAGGCAGACCCGGAGAACAGAAACAUCUUAGUACCCGGAGGAAGAGAAAGAAAAAUCGAUUCCCUGAGUAGCGGCGAGCGAAACGGGAACAGCCCAAACC